GACGAACGCUGGCGGCGUGCCUAACACAUGCAAGUCAAGGGGAAACGGGUAGCAAUAUCCGGAGUACACUGGCGCACGGGUGAGUAACGCGUAGGUAACCUGCCCAUAGGACGGGGAUAAUUCAGCGAAAGCUGGACUAAUACCCGAUGUUGAGACGUCAUCACAUGGUGGUGUCUUGAAAAGCCCGCAAGGGUGCCGAUGGAUGGGCCUGCGUCCCAUUAGGUAGUUGGUAGGGUAACGGCCUACCAAGCCUGCGAUGGGUAGCUGGUCUGAGAGGAUGAUCAGCCACACUGGAACUGAGACACGGUCCAGACUCCUACGGGAGGCAGCAGUGAGGAAUAUUGCGCAAUGGCCGAAAGGCUGACGCAGCGACGCCGCGUGAGGGAUGAAGUCCGUUAGGAUGUAAACCUCUUUUGUCAGGGGAAGAAAACGCUCCCGGGGCUAAAUACCUUGGGGGUAAUGACGGUACCUGAAGAAUAAGCACCGGCUAACUACGUGCCAGCAGCCGCGGUAA
rnacentral:rRNA from 1 species